AUUGAACGCUGGCGGCAGGCCUAACACAUGCAAGUCGAGCGGAUGAAGGGAGCUUGCUCCUGGAUUCAGCGGCGGACGGGUGAGUAAUGCCUAGGAAUCUGCCUGGUAGUGGGGGAUAACGUCCGGAAACGGGCGCUAAUACCGCAUACGUCCUGAGGGAGAAAGUGGGGGAUCUUCGGACCUCACGCUAUCAGAUGAGCCUAGGUCGGAUUAGCUAGUUGGUGGGGUAAAGGCCUACCAAGGCGACGAUCCGUAACUGGUCUGAGAGGAUGAUCAGUCACACUGGAACUGAGACACGGUCCAGACUCCUACGGGAGGCAGCAGUGGGGAAUCUUGGACAAUGGGCGAAAGCCUGAUCCAGCCAUGCCGCGUGUGUGAAGAAGGUCUUCGGAUUGUAAAGCACUUUAAGUUGGGAGGAAGGGAAGUAAGUUAAUACCUUGCUGUUUUGACGUUACCAACAGAAUAAGCACCGGCUAACUUCGUG
rnacentral:rRNA from 1 species